ACCUCCAGCUAAGGUCCCCAAGUCAUGGCUAAGUGGGAAAGGAUGUGAGGAUCCCAAAACAACCAGGAUGUUGGCUUAGAAGCAGCCAUCAUUUAAAGAAAGCGUAACAGCUCACUGGUCUAAAUAAGGGUCUUUGCGCCGAAAAUGUAACGGGGCUGAAGCCAUGCACCGAAGCUGAGGAUGUGUAGCAAUACACGUGGUAGCGGAGCGUUCCGUAAGCCUGUGAAGGGACAGUCGUGAGACAUCCUGGAGGUAUCGGAAGUGCGAAUGUUGACAUGAGUAACGAUAAAGAGGGUGAGAGACCCUCUCGCCGAAAGACCAAGGGUUCCUGCUUAAAGUUAAUCUGAGCAGGGUUAGCCGGCCCCUAAGACGAGGCGGACACGCGUAGUCGAUGGGAACCACGUUAAUAUUCGUGGGCCUGGUGGUAGUGACGGAUUGCUCAACUUGUAAGGUCUUAUUGGAUUGAUCUUGCAGGGACGCGGUUCCAGGAAACAGCUCCACCGUAUAGACCGUACCCGAAACCGACACAGGUGGUCAGGUAGAGUAUACCAAGGCGCUUGAGAGAACUAUGUUGAAGGAACUCGGCAAAUUGCACGCGUAACUUCGGAAGAAGCGUGACCCCAUUUUACGCAAGUGAGAUGGGGUGGCACAGACCAGGGGGUAGCGACUGUUUAUCAAAAACACAGGGCUCUGCGAAGUCGCAAGACGACGUAUAGGGUCUGACGCCUGCCCGGUGCUGGAAGGUUAAAGGGAGAGGUGCAAGCUUUGAACUGAAGCCCCAGUAAACGGCGGCCGUAACUAUAACGGUCCUAAGGUAGCGAAAUUCCUUGUCGGGUAAGUUCCGACCUGCACGAAUGGCGUAACGACUUCCCCGCUGUCUCCAACAUAGACUCAGUGAAAUUGAAUUCCCCGUGAAGAUGCGGGGUUCCUGCGGUCAGACGGAAAGACCCCGUGCACCUUUACUAUAGCUUUACACUGGCAUUCGUGUCGGCAUGUGUAGGAUAGGUGGUAGGCUUUGAAGCGGGGACGCCAGUUUCCGUGGAGCCAUCCUUGAAAUACCACCCUUAUCGUCAUGGAUGUCUAACCGCGGUCCGUUAUCCGGAUCCGGGACAGUGUAUGGUGGGUAGUUUGACUGGGGCGGUCGCCUCCGAAAGAGUAACGGAGGCGCGCGAUGGUGGGCUCAGACCGGUCGGAAAUCGGUCGUCGAGUGCAAUGGCAUAAGCCCGCCUGACUGCGAGACUGACAAGUCGAGCAGAGACGAAAGUCGGUCAUAGUGAUCCGGUGGUCCCGCGUGGAAGGGCCAUCGCUCAACGGAUAAAAGGUACGCCGGGGAUAACAGGCUGAUGACCCCCAAGAGUCCAUAUCGACGGGGUUGUUUGGCACCUCGAUGUCGGCUCAUCGCAUCCUGGGGCUGGAGCAGGUCCCAAGGGUUUGGCUGUUCGCCAAUUAAAGCGGUACGUGAGCUGGGUUCAGAACGUCGUGAGACAGUUCGGUCCCUAUCUGCCGUGGGUGUAGGAAUAUUGACAGGAUCUGUCCCUAGUACGAGAGGACCGGGAUGGACAUAUCUCUGGUGGACCUGUUGUCCUGCCAAGGGCAUAGCAGGGUAGCUACAUAUGGAAGGGAUAACCGCUGAAGGCAUCUAAGCGGGAAACCCACCUGAAAACGAGUGU
rnacentral:rRNA from 1 species